UCCACCAUAGCAUGCACAGUACACAUGGAUCUUUUAAGUCGCUAUAUCGUAGGGGUCGCGACAGAUACUCGGUUGCCACGGUUGCCAAAUGAUAAGCUACACUCCAUAAUGUUGUCUUCGUCCUCUACUUGUGCCAAUGAAUCCUUGACACCUGGCGCCGAUUACUUUUUUUCUUUUGCAUUAUUUUCUUUUUUUUUUUUUGGUUUCCCACGGUAUCCCCCAGCCCGACAGGCCAAAGACUAAUCCGUCGCGGUACUGAGCUCCAUUUAAGGGUUUGCCGCUGGCCAAUGAGUUGCUGCAUGCACAAGGCGGGAUUCGAACCCCCGACACUUGCUUAAGCGGACUAGUGAGCUAACCACUAGACCAACCCAACUUGGUUUCUUUUGCAUUAUUUUCUUUUCCUAUAACAAUUCCACAGUCCUUGUUUUUUUUUUUUGGUCAAGGUCCAGGCCAAUAGAAAAGCCCAAACCACAACAAACCAAAACGAAUUAUCCGACCCGGCGAUGGGAGAGCUCUCCUUCAGCAACCAGCAGCUGUAGCUCCUUAUGUCUUCCCUUUUGUCCCAUUCCCUGUUGAUUACAAGUAGUGAUUUCUUUUAAUAUUAAGACAAGACAGCCUUUGAAUUAUUCGACUAUAACCAGCGUAGUGGCAAUCAUAUGAUAAUUGGAUCUUUAUAUAUCUUUAUGUGUGGUCAUCGGCGCGAUCCAUUAGAAAGGGAAGACGAUGCUGAAUCCGCAGGUGAGGCACAUCACGGAAGAAUGCAGACCCACUGCCUCAGAUCAAUCGUAGUCAGGGAUGGAAUAAGGCUCCACUGGUAGAGAAGAGCAACCACCCGAAACAAGGAAACCUCGAAGACCCAAUCUGUCCAACAACGAAGAACAGGACACAAACCCUACAUGAUUCCUCAAUUUCAUCAAUGAAAAGCUCCAACCUGAUAUCUGACAAGAAAGAGUACUGAACAGGAUCCGUCAAGCCGUUGGUUGCUCUUUCGAACGGCGCCGUUCCCUCCCCUGAACAGUCCUUGUUUGCGGUUGGCUGAGUGUGUGCAUAGCUUUUAAUUCACAUUCGGUCCUUAUAAAUACGGC
rnacentral:lncRNA from 1 species